CGAUGCGUAGGGGUUCUGAGAGGAAGGUCCCCCACACUGGUACUGAGACACGGACCAGACUCCUACGGGAGGCAGCAGUGAGGAAUAUUGGUCAAUGGCCGCAGGGCUGAACCAGCCAAGUCGCGUGAGGGAUGACGGUCCUAUGGAUUGUAAACCUCUUUUGUCAGGGAGCAAAGGGCGCCACGUGUGGCGCUUUGCGAGUACCUGAAGAAAAAGCAUCGGCUAACUCCGUGCCAGCAGCCGCGGUAAUACGGAGGAUGCGAGCGUUAUCCGGAUUUAUUGGGUUUAAAGGGUGCGCAGGCGGAAUGUCAAGUCAGCGGUAAAAUUUCGGGGCUCAACCCCGUCGUGCCGUUGAAACUGGCGUUCUUGAGUGAGCGAGAAGUAUGCGGAAUGCGUGGUGUAGCGGUGAAAUGCAUAGAUAUCACGCAGAACUCCGAUUGCGAAGGCAGCAUACCGGCGCUCAACUGACGCUCAUGCACGAAAGCGUGGGUAUCGAACAGGAUUAGAUACCCUGGUAGUCCACGCAGUAAACGAUGAAUACUAACUGUCCGGGCAGAAUGAUGCCUGG
rnacentral:rRNA from 1 species